UGGAGAUAUGUAGUAGAAAUUUGUUUUUGAUGCUGUUGGCAAGGUUGGUGUAAUUUCAGAUCUGGGAAGGAGGGCAAAUGCUUUGUUUUUCUGAGACGCUGCACUUGCAUGGGAAUGGCAAACAUCCCACGUUGUUCUGCAGUGUGGAUGGAAUAACAGCGCACCCAGGGCAGGGAAGGAGAGCUGGGGGUCUGCAGCAUCCACAGCAUCACUCGGCACAGCUCUUUCCUUCUGUAAAGCUUUGUAGCCUGAGGCACUCCGGGACUCCUGAGCUCUGUAGUUGGGGAAGUUAAUCAAUAUAAUUACCGCCAAAUGAAGUUACUCCUGUCCUCUGAGCACAGGUGUGAUGGGCAUUAAGGAACCCCAGGAGCACUUGAUCUUGGCAAGGAUGGGGAGAAAAGCUGACCUGUGUGGUAAUUGGGCUUUCCAUGGAGGAGGGCAAGGAGCAAUUAAUGAUGUGGGCUCUGCUUGGGAUCAUUUGCAUUGUUACUGCUUGCAAGCGAGGCUCUGGAGCUUCCCAGCACACUGUGUGUCUGUGUCCCUGACCUGCUGCUGUGGGCAGCACUGCCUGCAAGUCAACUCCAGGACAGCCACCAGCUCUCACCUCUCCAGCUGGAUGCUAUCUCCCCGAAGAGCUCACAAAAGGAGCCCAAGGAACCAGGCAGCCAAGCAACCAGCCAGCCAAACAGAUAAGGACUGGCCACAGGACCAAGAACCACCACGAGCUGAGGACCAUCUCCUGUUCAAAGGCAUCAGCGUGGUGAUGGUGUUGCUGAGCCUUGCUCAGACCCAAAGCACUGAGGAUGACUUCCAACACCAAUUACGGCCUUUUUACUGCCAGAUCAACCAGAAAAUCCCUCUCAGGGGCAGAGUUGUGCCACAGCCACCUUCCUCUAAGGACAUGGGGAUGUUAACAGAAACAGGUGUGACCUACAGAGCUCGGCACCGAGAUGGAAGGACUUGCUGAUGUCUUCAGAUGUAUGAGGUCUUUAGCUGCUGUCGCAGCGGGUUUGGGGGGAGGUGGAGAAGCCCCUGUGUGUCACCCUGAAGCUCAGGGCUGGCUGUCCUGCAGAGCACAGUGUCCCUAUGGUAGAACAUUGCUUUGCUCACUGGUAUUGCAGCAACGUGAUACCAAAACAGCCAAUGUGCAUCUGAAGGGAGAGCUGUGGAGGCAGGGGAGAAGGAAAGGAAAGGCUCAAUCAGUCUGAAAGAUGCUUUCAAAGUGAGAAAAACUUGCUGCCAGGCUUCCUUUGGAGAGCAAUUCCACUCUUCCUUUUUCUCUCUUUCUUUUUUGGUGCCAUGCAAUUCCUCUGUGGCCAGAAGGCUGCAGGCAUUUCAGAUCCUUUCUUC